CCUACGGGAGGCUGCAGUGAGGAAUAUUGGUCAAUGGACGAGAGUCUGAACCAGCCAAGUAGCGUGAGGGAAGACGGUCCUAUGGAUUGUAAACCUCUUUAGGCGGGGAGCAAUGCCGGGCACGCGUGCCCGGAGGGAGAGUACCCGCAGAAUAAGCAUCGGCUAACUCCGUGCCAGCAGCCGCGGUAAUACGGAGGAUGCGAGCAUUAUCCGGAUUUAUUGGGUUUAAAGGGUGCGUAGGCGGAUUUUUAAGUCAGCGGUAAAAGGUCCGGGCUCAACCCGGGCCGGCCGUUGAAACUGGGGAUCUUGAGUGGGCGAGAAGUAUGCGGAAUGCGUGGUGUAGCGGUGAAAUGCAUAGAUAUCACGCAGAACUCCGAUUGCGAAGGCAGCAUACCGGCGCCCGACUGACGCUGAGGCACGAAAGCGUGGGGAUCGAACAGGAUUAGAUACCCGAGUAGUC
rnacentral:rRNA from 1 species